rnacentral:misc_RNA from 1 species
UGUUCUAUCGCUCCGCCCGGGAGGGUUCAUUUACUGUUCCACCGGGUUCUCCCGUCGAAGAGAUCGAGAGCUGCGGAGUAGUAGUAGAAGAUGGGCGGCGGAGCAAAGGGCGAAGAUAAGGGUCUUCUCUGGAGGCUCCCGGAGUUGAAAUCACAGGAUCUCGGCAAGCUUGGCCCCGGCUUCGGCAUCGGCGCCGGCUGCGGCGUAGGGUUCGGCGUCGGCGUCUUCGGAGGGGCAGGCUUAGGUGCAGGAUUUCCUGGCUUACAGUUUGGGUUUGGAAUUGGAGCUGGAUGUGGAAUAGGUCUUGGUUUCGGGUAUGGAAUGGGAAGAGGAAUUGCAUAUGACGAGAACCGAAAACACACAAAUGUGGGGAAGAUAUUCCGAGAUGUGGGAAAGCUCCCAUCACAGGAAAGUAUUGAUACGCUGGUUGACGAGGUUGUUGUA